UAGGGAAUCUUCGGCAAUGGACGAAAGUCUGACCGAGCAACGCCGCGUGAGUGAAGAAGGUUUUCGGAUCGUAAAACUCUGUUGUUAGAGAAGAACAAGGACGUUAGUAACUGAACGUCCCCUGACGGUAUCUAACCAGAAAGCCACGGCUAACUACGUGCCAGCAGCCGCGGUAAUACGUAGGUGGCAAGCGUUGUCCGGAUUUAUUGGGCGUAAAGCGAGCGCAGGCGGUUUCUUAAGUCUGAUGUGAAAGCCCCCGGCUCAACCGGGGAGGGUCAUUGGAACCUGGGAGACUUGAGUGCAGAAGAGGAGAGUGGAAUUCCAUGUGUAGCGGUGAAAUGCGUAGGUAUAUGGAGGAACACCAGUGGCGAAGGCGGCUCUCUGGUCUGUAACUGACGCUGAGGCUCGAAAGCGUGGGGAGCAAACAGG
rnacentral:rRNA from 1 species